rnacentral:tRNA from 1 species
AGGGGUGUGGCCAAGCGGUAAGGCAGCGCACUCUGGAUCCGCGAUGCGCUGGUUCGAAACCAGCCGCCCCUG